AUCCCAUUAGCUAGUUGGCAGGGUAACGGCCUACCAAGGCGACGAUGGGUAGCUGGUCUGAGAGGACGACCAGCCACACUGGCACUGAAACACGGGCCAGACUCCUACGGGGGGCAGCAGUGAGGAAUAUUGCGCAAUGGGCGAAAGCCUGACGCAGCGACGCCGCGUGGGGGAUGAAGGCCUUCGGGUUGUAAACCCCUUUCGACCCGGAAAGAAACGCUUUAAGGUAAAUAGCUUUAGAACCUGACGGUACCGGGAGAAGAAGCACGGGGUAACUCUGUGCCAGCAGCCGCGGUAAGACAGAGGUGGCAAGCGUUAAUCGGAAUUACUGGGCGUAAAGCGCACGCAGGCGGUUUGUUAAGUCAGAUGUGAAAUCCCCGGGCUCAACCUGGGAACUGCAUCUGAUACUGGCAAGCUUGAGUCUCGUAGAGGGGGGUAGAAUUCCAGGUGUAGCGGUGAAAUGCGUAGAGAUCUGGAGGAAUACCGGUGGCGAAGGCGGCCCUCUGG
rnacentral:rRNA from 1 species